rnacentral:rRNA from 1 species
GCAGCCGCCGCGGGAUACGUAGGUCCCGAGCGUUGUCCGGAUUUAUUGGGCGUAAAGCGAGCGCAGGCGGUUGGAUAAGUCUGAAGUUAAAGGCUGUGGCUUAACCAUAGUACGCUUUGGAAACUGUUUAACUUGAGUGCAAGAGGGGAGAGCGGAAUUCCAUGUGUAGCGGUGAAAUGCGUAGAUAUAUGGAGGAACACCGGUGGCGAAAGCGGCUCUCUGGCUUGUAACUGACGCUGAGGCUCGAAAGCGUGGGGAGCAAACAGGAUUAGAUACCCCAGUAGUCCCUGUCUCUUAUACAC